GAUGAACGCUGGCGGCGUGCCUAAUACAUGCAAGUCGAGCGAACAGAUAAGGAGCUUGCUCCUUUGACGUUAGCGGCGGACGGGUGAGUAACACGUGGGUAACCUACCUAUAAGACUGGGAUAACUUCGGGAAACCGGCGCUAAUACCGGAUAAUAUUUCGAACCGCAUGGUUCGAUAGUGAAAGAUGGUUUUGCUAUCACUUAUAGAUGGACCCGCGCCGUAUUAGCUAGUUGUUAAGGUAACGGGUUACCAAGGCGACGAUACGUAGCCGACCUGAUAGGGGGAUCGGCCACACUGGAACUGAGACACGGUCCAGACUCCUACGGGAGGCAGCAGUAGGGAAUCUUCCGCAAUGGGCGAAAGCCUGACGGAGCAACGCCGCGUGAGUGAUGAAGGUCUUCGGAUCGUAAAACUCUGUUAUUAGGGAAGAACAUACGUGUAAGUAACUGUGCACGUCUUGACGGUACCUAAUCAGAAAGCCACGGCUAACUACGUG
rnacentral:rRNA from 1 species